rnacentral:rRNA from 1 species
GAUGAACGCUGGCGGCGUGCCUAACACAUGCAAGUCGAGCGAACGGACGAGUAGCUUGUUUCUCUGAUGUUAGCGGUGGACGGGUGAGUAACACGUGGAUAACCUACCUAUAAGACCUUGAUAAUUUCGGGAAACCGGUGCUACUACCGGAUAAUAUUUUGAACCUCAUGGUUCAAAAGUGAAAGACGGUCUUGCUGUCACUUAUAGAUGGAUCCGCGCUGUAUUAGCUAGUUGGUAAGGUAACGGCUUACCAAGGCAACGAUGCAUAGCCGACCUGAGAGGAGGGUCGGCCACACUAGAACUGAGGCGCGGUCCAGACUCCUACGAGAGGCAGCAGUAGGGAAGAUUACGGAAUGAGCGGAAGCAUGACGAAGCAACGCCGCGUGGGGAAUGAAGGUGUUCGGAGCGUAAAGCUCUGUUAUUAGGAGAGAACAAAUGUGGAAGUAACUGUGCACAGGUUGACGGUACCUGGACAAAAAGCCACGGCUAACUACGUG